GGAGGAAAGUAGGGGAUCGAAAGACCUUAUGCUUUUGGAGCGGCCGAUGUCUGAUUAGCUAGUUGGUAGGGUAAUGGCUUACCAAGGUGACGAUCAGUAGUUGGUCUGAGAGGACGACCAGCCACACUGGGACUGAGACACGGCCCAGACUCCUACGGGAGGCAGCAGUGGGGAAUUUUGGACAAUGGGCGCAAGCCUGAUCCAGCAAUGCCGCGUGAGUGAAGAAGGCCUUCGGGUUGUAAAGCUCUUUCAGUUGAAAAGAAAAAGCCGUGACUAAUAAUCAUGGUUCAUGACGGUAUCAACAGAAGAAGCACCGGCUAACUACGUGCCAGCAGCCGCGGUAAUACGUAGGGUGCAAGCGUUAAUCGGAAUUACUGGGCGUAAAGGGUGCGCAGGCGGUUCUGUAAGUCAGAUGUGAAAUCCCCGGGCUUAACCUGGGAACUGCGUUUGAAACUACAAA
rnacentral:rRNA from 1 species